UCCCCGGGCUUAACCUGGGAACUGCAUGUGAUACUGGUGGUGCUAGAAUAUGUGAGAGGGAAGUAGAAUUCCAGGUGUAGCGGUGAAAUGCGUAGAGAUCUGGAGGAAUACCGAUGGCGAAGGCAGCUUCCUGGCAUAAUAUUGACACUGAGAUUCGAAAGCGUGGGUAGCAAACAGGAUUAGAUACCCUGGUAGUCCACGCCGUAAACGAUGUCUACUAGCCGUUGGGGUCCUUGAGACUUUAGUGGCGCAGUUAACGCGAUAAGUAGACCGCCUGGGGAGUACGGCCGCAAGGUUAAAACUCAAAUGAAUUGACGGGGGCCCGCACAAGCGGUGGAGCAUGUGGUUUAAUUCGAUGCAACGCGAAGAACCUUACCUGGUCUUGACAUAGUGAGAAUCCUGCAGAGAUGCGGGAGUGCCUUCGGGAAUUCACAUACAGGUGCUGCAUGGCUGUCGUCAGCUCGUGUCGUGAGAUGUUGGGUUAAGUCCCGCAACGAGCGCAACCCUUUUCCUUAUUUGCCAGCGGGUUAAGCCGGGAACUUUAAGGAUACUGCCAGUGACAAACUGGAGGAAGGCGGGGACGACGUCAAGUCAUCAUGGCCCUUACGACCAGGGCUACACACGUGCUACAAUGGUAGGUACAGAGGGUUGCUACACAGCGAUGUGAUGCUAAUCUCAAAAAGCCUAUCGUAGUCCGGAUUGGAGUCUGCAACUCGACUCCAUGAAGUCGGAAU
rnacentral:rRNA from 1 species